rnacentral:lncRNA from 1 species
GUUGAAGACUCUUUGUGGAAAUUAUGCCCAUCCGUUGAUUCUAAUUAAUUAUUUUGAAUAAUUGAUAAUAUAUUUGAUGUGGAUAUAUCAAGGUAUAUUUAUCAACUCUUCAAAUAAUGGAAAUUGAGUUUUUAAAUGUCUGUGCAUUCUUAAUGUUGUGUAGCUUGAAUCAUAUGUCAAAUUCAAGAACCAGGUAUCUUAAGACAAACCAACCAUCAAAUCUGGAGAAAAAUAGCUACUUUCAAGAAUACAUGCUAAAAUUUUCUUGGCUGCCAUGAACUCAGCAUUUUUGCUUCACCAUGCCCUUCUGCCGUGAUGCUCCUGUCUCGGAGCCAUGGGUGGAUUCCCUGAACCAUGAGCCAAGUGUUUAUGUUUAAAAAGUCCUUGAAAUAGCUAUAGGUUAGAAAGCAAUCUUGAAUUGGAAAAUGGUGGAACAGUGAGUGGCACAAGCAAUUUUCCCAGGAUAAAAUGCCUGCUACCUGGAAAUUAUCAACCUGAAGCUCCCCCCAAAAAUGGUGCAGAGGGCACUCCAGAACAUCAAGGGAAUGGACAGAGGAGAAGCAGAAAAUAGGAUCCAAUACUACAGAAGAAUUAGAUUAAUCAUACAGAACAGAGACACUCAACCCAGAAAAUUGACAGUAUACCUGCCUCCACAGAAAUCUGUGAAAACAACUCAGCCACUCACUGAGAAACAGAGUCCCAGACCCAAAAUGGAAGAGGCCUGUACAACCAGAGGCAGUGGCAAAAACACCAGAUAAUAUUCCCAGGCAGGUCCAGCCCGGAGGAAAAAAAGUGGCAGAAAGUUGAAGCACACAGGGAGAGCUAAGAGACUCUGCAGUGAAGACCCAGCAGACUACAGUGGUUGGUAUGAAAAAUUGAAACAGCUGCCUGGCCGGAAACCAUCCCACUGAUGCCAGCAGCUGCCCUGCCAGACCACGCUGUGAGGGGCCUUGUGGUAUCUGAAUCCACACAACAGAGGUGCCGGGGGGAACACAAAGGCUGUGGCUGUGAGCCCCAGAAGAUAGAGAAGAAGUGAACAACAGAGAGGGCCUCUCUGAGGCUCCUCAAUGAAAAUUGAAACCCACUGGGAAAAUGAAGAAAAUCUCUUCAAUAAAAGCACACUGGACCAUCGUGGUUGAAUUGUUCUAUAUGAUUCGGAUACAUACAAAACAGUGGAGGAAGAAUCAAUCAAUUGAGCUUUGACAAUUGGCAGCCCAUGUAGAAAAAACAAGACAUUGGUAAGUUAUUCUAUAUCAGAACCAAAAAUAAAUUACAGAUUGGUUAAAAAUUUAAAUGUGAAAAUAACUAUAAACUUUUGAACUUCAAAAAAAAAAAUAGCCAACAGGACCUUUAUCAGCCCAAUUAAGGUAAGCAGGCAAGAACCUGAAUGGACAUUAUCAAAAACUUAUACCGUAGCAAAAUUAAAUUUUAGUGGUUUCCAAAGGAUAGUGUCAAAAAAGUAAAAACCAAG